ensembl:lncRNA
CUCGUAGAUAUUCCCUCGGUGAAGUAUAUCAGUUCUGGGAAGGUUUCCUCACAAGAUCCACAGCAAGUACCGCUAUCAAUGCAGACAGUACUCCUCAGCAAUAACCGAUAUCCCAUGGGAACAUGAACUAGUUAAUCUUCCCCAAGCAAUUCUCUCUCGGGGGUCGCACGAUGCUAGGCUAUCCUCAAGGCUGUCAAAUACCUCCACGAUGAGACGGUAGCUUCAAUCUUUACUAAGUCUUUCUUAACAAAAUGAUAAUAACUCUCUUAUAAAAUAAAAUCAAAACUCGGUAGGUAUGGGUUUUGUUCUAUUUUUAUCGUAUUCUUUUAUAAUUUUUCUUAACCAACGGUCAUAAUGUAAUGUCCAUCCUUUUUCCAACGUCUCUCCCUUUCUACCAGGCCACAGCUUAACAAGCUACCUUAUUGGUCAAAACUUAAACUUAAUACUUGGUUCUAACAAGAAUAAACUCAAUACUUGGUUCUAACAAAGGAGAGGAAACUUCAAGCUUUGACAUUGAGGGCCAAAACCACAGAGUUCAGAGAGGAACAACAGCAAGCCCUGCUGGAUGAACUGAGAAGACAAAUUGAAGAUGAAGAGGAGGAAGACCGUGACAGAAUCACCCACCAACCAAGGACCAAGCGGCGUGGUAAAAGACAGCGAUGACAGCAGCAGCAGCAACAACAGCGGCCAGCAUCACAGGACUACACAACUUGGGAGGAGAUAGACAGGUGGGCGGUCGACCCAGGGAGAGUGCAGGAGCCCGCCUGGGAUUCGAUGGAGCAGUGCGAGGAAGGUUACAGGAGAAUGAGGUUGGCGAAGCCAGCACGUCAGCGCGACAGGUACGAGAGGCAGCCCCCCCAAAAAAAUGUGUGGGCGGGCAGACGAGGUGUGGGGCUAAGCCAGGUAGCAGACCUGAGCUCACUCCUCGUGCUUAUUAUAAGCAGCGCUUUACUGGUCAGGCACCGUGUUAUGCAGUAAAGCGCACGGUGUCGCCAGUACGUGCCCAUAGCCCGGUGCGCUAUAGGGCAGCCCCCCGGAAGUGCCAUGCGAGUGUGGGCAUCGAGCCAGGGCGUAUGGUGCCUGCUCAGCGUGUCUGGUCGCCGGUACGCCGUUUCGGGCCAGGGUAUCCUGCGCCGGCUCUGCGUGCUGUGUCUCCGGGGCACUGGGAGGGUGCAGUGCGUCCUAUGCCUGCGCUCCGCUCGUGCCGGGCAAAUGUGGGAGUGGAGCCUAAGGGAGAGGUGUGUGUAGUAAGCUCUAGAUCUCCCGUGCUUACCCACAGCCCGGUUCAACCUGUGCCUGCACUCUGGAGGGUCCGGGCUAGAGUAGUUGUCCAGCCUGGGGAAGUGGUGCCAAGGUUGCGCACCAGAGCUCCAGUGCUCCUCCACAGCCCGGUCCUUCAGGUGCCUCCUCCUAACACCAAGCCUCCUGAAGGUCUCCCCAGCCUGGUGGUUCCUGUGGCAGCCCCACGCACCAGGCUGUCUCUCUGUCUCCUCCCUGCAGGUUCUCUUUAUUAAAAUUCACUAUGAACACAUACCACGCCGCAUAUUGGUCCUCUGAUCCUUCUCACCUCUCCUCUUCAGAUGAAGAGGAGGAAGACCGUGACAGUAUGGAAUCAAUCUUUAAGAUGUUUUUAACAUAAAACGUCAAUAAUGUUCCUCUGUUCCUAUGAAUUCCUAUGUCUGUAGAAAAGCAAUGGAACGGGAGGUAACUCUCUCAUGACCGCGCCACAGAGCCUGUGGCAAUCUGCCAAACACCUGGCUCAUUCCUCUCACAUUCGCCCCCACUUCACAGUAGAAUCCUCAAACAAGUUUCUAAAGACGGUUGACAUCUCAUGGAAGCCUUAGGAAGUGCAACAUAACCCAUAUUCCACUGUGUAUUCAAUUGGGUCUGGGUUGAAAAUCGACCAACCUCAGAUUUCCCACUUCCUGUUUGGAUUUCUUCUCAGGUUUUUGCCUGCCAUAUGAGUUUUCUAUCCAAUUGUAAUAAUAAUGUUGUUUAUCCAAUUGUAAUAAUAAUAAUGUUUUCUAUCCAAUUGUAAUAAUAGUAUGCAUAUAUUAGCAACUGGGACUGAGGAGCAGGCCGUUUACUCUGGGCACCUUUCAUCCAAGCUACUCAAUACUGCCCCUGCAGCCAUAAGAAGUUAAAGCAAAAAUCACAGUACUCAAUAGAAACCAAACCCUAUCCUUUAUAAACCUUUUAAAAUUAGGCCUAGUUGUGUCUCGCAUCAAACAAAUCAAAUAUAACUUUAUUUAAAGUGUAUAUAAAAUCACGUUACAGUAAAACAAUCAAAUUCAAGUUAGAGACUGACGUAAUGGUUUAAGCAGGGCUAACAGACCAGUGCCAAAUUCCUUAGAAAUCUAUAAUAUAUAAAUAACACACAUUAUUAGAAAAUGUUGCUCUCAAAGUAGGUCUAGUGGUAGUGCUGCGGCCCCGAGCCCACACAUUACCCCUGGAUGUGUGGGUUCAAACACCAACUGCAUUGCUUUACAGUCUACUUCUCA